CAAGGCAACCAGGUGCCCCUAAUUGCCAGGGAGUGAGCAUGAGCUUGUGUCUCAGGACUCACCUUUUAUUGGCCCCCUGGUCCUGCUCAUGCGCAGUGGGGGCCCACCCUAAUUGGGCACAGGUGGGCUUGACACAAGCUCAUGCUCACUCCCUGGCAAUUAGGGGCACCUGGUUGCCUUGUUACACU
rnacentral:pre_miRNA from 1 species